rnacentral:misc_RNA from 1 species
AUGCAACAUGGUUGUUGAAGCUGGUGGAAAAAAUGGUGUCAUCCCAGCUGAUAAAACAACAUAUGACUACCUUGAGGGAAGGACUUCUGUGCCCUAUGAACCUGUUUAUAGUGAUGAAGGAGCCAGAUAUCUUAAGGAGUACAGAUUUGAUGUUUCCAAGUUGGAGCCCUUAGUGGCUAAGCCUCAUUCUCCUGAUAAUCGU